UCAUGAUAUGAAAUCUGGCUAGAGCUGCUGAUUAUUACUCUACUGCGUUAACAAUGUCGGAAAUCCUUACACAUGGCAGGAAGCAGUACAUGCAAUGCACGGCUUAAUAAACUUGCUAAGGCCCAUAGAUUCAACCAACUCAGAACUACAUUCACGUAAAGCUAUCGAGAACUACAUUCACGUGAAGCUAUCAAAGAAGCAUGUAUAUCUCUUGUACUGCAAGCCUCCCU
rnacentral:lncRNA from 1 species